UGACCUCAAAUCAGGUAGGACUACCCGCUGAACUU
rnacentral:rRNA from 8 species